rnacentral:lncRNA from 1 species
UUUGAUGAUCUUAUGGCGGAGAAGGAAGCUGUAUCUUCAAAAUGUGUCAAUUUGGCUAAAGAGAAUCAAGUUUUUCAACAGGAGUUAUUAUCUAUGAAAAAAGUACAACAGGAAUGUGAAAAACUUGAGGAAGAUAAAAAGAUGUUGGAAGAAGAAAUAUUAAAUCUUAAGACACAUAUGGAAAACAGUAUGGUAGAACUUAGUAAACUACAAGAAUAUAAAUCAGAGCUAGAUGAAAGGGCAAUGCAGGCAGUAGAAAAAUUAGAAGAAAUCCAUUUACAGAUGGGGCUGGACUGUGUAGAAUAAAUAAUUAGAGAAACAAAGAGAACUGUUGCUGUAUUGGACACUUGCUCCCAUCUACUUUCUUCUCUAGAAUCCACGGCUCUGGAAUGAGUCAUUUUUUUUAGAAGCAGAGGUGGAGCCACUGAGGAAACACAGGUGAGCCCUCCCCAGUGUGUACUCACUGGUCCCCAACAGAAGAACCACUGCCACAUCCACUGA